GUGCAUUUCAGCAGCACACAUACUAAAAUUGAAAUGAAGGAAGAUUAGUAUGGCCCUUGCUUAAAGAUGUCAUACAAAUUCAUUAAGCAGUCCAUACUUUU
rnacentral:snRNA from 1 species